rnacentral:tRNA from 1 species
GCGCGGGUGGCGGAAUUGGUAGACGCGUACGUUUGAGGGGCGUAUGCCUUUCGGCGUAAGGGUUCGAGUCCCUUCCCGCGCA